rnacentral:lncRNA from 1 species
AUGGUACAUAAGAGGCACCCUGGGCCAAGAAUAGAAGAAAAAUCCUUUAAAUUUUUCAAUGUCUUGGAAUCAAGUGGAAUCAUAACAGCAAUAGAGCCCUAUAUAAGAUCAGGGCAAGGACAAGAACACAACAGUGAAGAGAUCUAUCCAUCCUAUCUACACAUCAUCCAUAGCCAUCUGAGUGUGGUUCCAGUGGCUCAACUGCACUUGUAUUGCGGGGUGUAUCUGAUGGGUUGGGGAUCGGCAGUGGUUGGAUUAGGAAAGGCAUUGGAAUCUUUUGAAUUCAGCAGAAGUUUGGAUGAAACUUGCAGCAGUCACUGCAGGACCUGCUCUGCUUUAAGAGGAUUGUGUGCUCCAGAAGAGCUGUAA